AGUGCUUUAAAAACCAAAACAUGAGCAAGAAUUCUUCCAUAGACACUUCAAGGAAUUCCAGCGACUUGGGCAGUGAUGGUUUUAGUCCGUUUCUGUAUGCAACAGUCACUUCAAGAAUGACUUGUCAGCUAAGCAAGCAGAAUGGAAAUGAUUCAUUCAGUCUUGAGUUAAAACUGCAGCGGUGAAAACAUAUCCAAGAAAUGACUGCCAGGUGGAUAGACGGAGCCUGCAGUCCUGCAGCCACUGUUGACGUCCAGGGUCAUUUGCCUGGUGCCACCUUAGAAACUGUCCUGCUUCUGUACAGGACAUUGAACGAUAACAUCCUACAGGUCAGCUGACUGCUGUGUCACACUGCAUUCCUGCAGAUGCCAGCUCCUGCUCCCGCAGAUUGCCAGUCGAGAUGCGGCAAAGCAGAGGCGGACAGCUAGGCACAAAGCAACCGAGUUUUAAACUUUGAUUUUCCUGCUGCUGCCUAGCGUCUCACACGAAGACCAUUACCUUUGUGAAGCCAGGAGCCGAGAUGCGGUCUGAAUGUGCACGGCGGCUUCUGACGUGGCAACAUGAAUUCUCAGCUGGGCAAGUACUGCUCGGAGCUUGCUAACCAAACUGUGUGUGAUGGAGUUCGGCUGCUUUCCUACCUCAUAUUUGGGGGGAGGGGGUGCUUUUUGUGCCAUGCUGUUGUACCUGCAGGAGACAAUGCUUGGCAUGAUUUGUCUGACUCAGGCCUGGGCAACUCACCGCACUGGCACUGUGGGACUCCCCCAGCUCCCACUUAGGGCUGGUCACGGGACUGGUGUAACCCCCGACUCCUCAGUUAGAUCAUGCUUUAAAGGAGAAACCAGACUCAUUGGCCUAACUCAAUCCCAGUCCUUUCUGGAUGCAGGACUGCUGUCGCCUAUCUGGGACACAACCAGCCAUCAAGUGGAGCAUUGCUGGGGCUGCCGUCUGUGUGCAGGUGGAGCCUGGAAGAGUGACAGUCUAAUGUCCCAACUAAUUGUGCUUGCUAAGCACACAGUGGUCUGGAUUAGUCUUUCUGCCUGGCAGUCCUCAUCAAGUUGGGCUGAAAUGAGGGUGCCAGCAAGCCUGCCUUAGCCUUGGCUCCUUCCUGCACUGUGCUAUGCUAGCUGCUAGGAUGGGUCACUCUGACAACAAAGAAGGGUGCUUGACUUCUCUUGUGAUGCUUAGAGGAGCAUAAUUCUUCUUCCAAGUGCUCUCUCUCUCUCUCUCUCUCUCUCUCUCUCUCUCUCUCUCUCGUGUGAGUGUGUGUGUGUGUGUGUGUGUGUGUGUGUGUGUGCGCGCGCGUGCACGCGUGUAAAAUUCAUCAAACCAAAGAGCCUAAGAGAUAUCAUCAUGGACAUGGCUUUUAAUGAUUUGGGGGGAAAGAGAAAAAGAAAAAUGACAGCCCGUGGAGACAGCGAUUUGAGAAAUCAGCACAUUGAAGUGAUUGCCAAUCUGAACUACUGGGUUUGUGAAUCCAAGCCCUAAGGGAGUAGCCGGGUAACUGAGAAGGAGAUCGUAGAUAAAGAAAUAAAAAUGACAAGCGUAAUGGAGGCUCUGCGAAGGGACUGUCAGAGCGUCAGUUCAUGGAUGGCAAUCUCGCCAGGCGGAGAUUGAAUAAUUCAUAGAUGGAAACCACCCUGCCUUCACCUUCGCAUUUAAACCGGGCAUGAGCUGAAUCGCUAAUAAAAUUUCAAGAUAAAGUAAAAUGCCAAUUUGAAUCUGAAGAGCUUUUCAAAGCAGAUGUCGCAUCCCCGAAUCUUUUGGUAUCUUUUCACAAUUAUGCUCUGAGGACCGCACUUCAUCAGGAAGCACCAUUACCAGGGAAAAUGACUGUGAUUACAAUAGCAACAAUAGAAUGCCAUCGAAUGAUCUCUAAUUUACCUAAUUUGCUAAGACUGACUGGCUUAAAUACCCAUUGUGUGUUGCCAUGCCCGGUCCACGGAUCUAUCUCAAGACAGAACAAAAGUGGCGUGGUGUGUGUGCUACCUUGAUUCACACAGUCUAGGGGAGAGCAUUCUCCUAAGCUACAAUGUCUCUGUCAUCUGCUUUUCAUUUCUGUCAGCUUUUUGCCUUUUUUUUCUCUAAUGCUUAGCCCUAAAUGCCUUUUGAAGGAAAAUAGUGAGCCUGUCUUUGCUACAGAACAGCACCGACUUGUUAAUUUAUACACUUUAAAAAAAUUUAAAACAUACAAGCAUGUGUCUAUUUGAGGGGAGGAGAGAUUUGGUGCUGGGAGAAAGGUUUAACAAGCCAACUGAGAUGGCGUGUGUGUGUGUGUGUGUGUGUGUGUGUGUGUGUGUGUGUGUGUGCAUCUCUCUCUCUCUCUCUCUCUCUCUCUCUCUCUGUGUGUGUGUGUGUGUGUGUGUGUCUGUAUCUGUGUCUGUGUUUCCUCCAUAUGAAAUUCUUUCCCAGGAUUUGUGAUCCCUGUGGUAUUUUAAGAACCUCUCCAAUUGCAAAUUUCAGGUAGCAGAGCCAGCAAUCCCCCCACGUAGCUCUUUCAGAAAGGCUGUGUGCCUCAUUCCAUGAUGCAUCAAGGCUUUCAGGCUGCAUGGCUGUGUUUGUGCCUGCUCAGUGAACAGAAGUCUGUGCCAAAGAGAACUUUUGUCUGGCAGAUUGUGCCACUCAUCUUGGGGAGAUUGUGCCAUUCUGAGGAGGUGGCACGGACUAUGCAUCCUCCUUGGGGAGCAGAGCGGAGUCAUUUAGUGGACCAGGGGCUUCUGGAAUUGUCCUUCUAAUAGCAUGGAGACAGCAUGUGGUUCAUGCCAAUCAGCAAUACCUUUGCGUUUGAAUAUUUCAGUGAGGGACCGGAGGUAUGUAUGACUGCCAUUUGAGAAGGAGAUCCCAAAUCCCUCUCUUAAAACCUUGGGAUUUUGCUCGAGACUCAGCCCUGAUGAGUUCCUUCACACUUCAUUCACCUGGUCUACCCAUUCCUGUGUGUUCCCCCUACCUGCCCCUACCUUUUGGUAAGGUAAGUUGUGUUUCUAGUCAUUUAUAUAACAGGCAUGGGUGUUCCUUAUCAUCUGCUGUUAGUAGGAAUGUGCUUCUGAUGCUGUUUUUUCCUCCCAUCUUGUUCUCACUGUGCUGGGGCAAACUCCUAACUUUCCAGUUCCCUGUUGUCUGCGCACAAGAUUAAAAUGUGGCAUUUUGAAGCAUGACUAAAAUAUUGUGUUGUGUUUUGUUUUUCUGGCUGAGUACAUCUAAGGCUUUAAUAGUGUUUAAAGGAACGGGGGAAACAGAUUUAUGUCGUGAACACUUUGAUUAGAAGCAGUAGGCAGUUUUCUGACUAUUACCUCCGUUGCGACAUUGCUUUCUUUCGGUAGCCUGCUUUUCUAACAUUGGCUCCACUACUGUCGCUAGUCCAGGAAGAGGCUCUACUGAGUGACACCAGAGUGUGGGGAAGUCCACACUGCACCGACACCAGCAUUUCCUUCCCUGUUCUCUAAUUAAAACACAAUUUUGCUUAUUAGCAAAGGAUUGAACUUCUGACACCUGAAAAAUUUUUUUAAUAGCCAAAGUUUGAGCAGGAUAAUCAUUAAGUGAGCCAAUUGGUUUUUCUGUCCAAUAUUUAAGUAAAACAAGUACCUGCAAAUUAUCUAAGAAUAAGUGGAAAUCAGGUUUUAUAAUUUGGGGAGACUCAUCACAAACUACUUUUAGGUAUUGGGUAAGAAUAGCAAGUUGGGGAGCUGAUUUUUUAAUGACGAAAGGACUUAGAUAUCAUAGUCUUGGAAAAUGAGGUUGUAUUUGGUUUCUUUUGGCUGUAGGUACAAGAAUGUUAGUGUUUUGUAUAUGAUAUCUGUAAGACUCCUUACCGUGUGUCAGUGCUUGCCAACAAUGGUACUUUCGUUUGCUCUGCCUCUCAGAAGGCAGGACUGCAGAGUCACUUAAAGAUUUUAGACACCGCUGUUUCUUUGAAAUCAAACUUCCUUCACAAACUUACUGGAGUGAUUUUUUAAAUCAUGUUUUUUAAAAAACAUAAGUUCCUUAGGUAAUUUUUAAUUCACUAUUGACAGUUUUUCCCUGUUCAUAGAUGCUCCUCAUUUACAAUGCUCUAGAAAUAGAUGAAUCAGCAAGAGAGAUGGUGAGGGCAACUUUAUAACUGCAGACAGCUGAAAACAAGAGCCACUGUGAAAAUACACGAGCAAGGACGAAUUUAGGUGAAACCUAAGUCAAGAAAUAGCUCCACUGUGUGUUUUAGUUUUUGUUUAGAUUUUGAAAAAAAUAUUGUGGUGAUUGUUUAUAUUUUUUGUGAGUACCUGUUUUACAGGUACCAAUGAUGCCUUGCCUCCACGUUCCUAACUUCCCAAUGCUCCGGAGAGUAAGCUACAGUAGAAAGAAUGACUGAAAAUUUAAAUCAGUUCCUCAGAAACCCAUUUAUAAAACUCACAGACACAGAAACGACUCACACUUUAAGGCAGAACGUGUAAAUUUUGUCACUUGGUAAUUAGUUAUACUGGACAUCUUUUCAUGAGUGUAUUUUACAUUCCAUCUCAUCAUUAAAGUCCAGCUUGGAGCAAAAGCCCAAAUUGAAGUAAACCGAAGUUCCUCACAGAGAAUAUAUUAACCUUCCCUGAGCAUCUGCGAGCUACUUAGCAAAGCUAUGGUGGAUGCAUUUCACAGAUAAUCAAAUGAUGAUAUUCAUCAUCAAGCCUCAUGGCUGGAUUCCUCUAAUUGAAUUAUUUUGCAAGAAGAGCAGCAUAAUGUAUUUCCCUGAUUUUUAAGUGGGUAAUAAUGAAAACUGUCUUUACCAAAUACCCAUUUUUGUGUGAUCUUAGUCUGGUAUCGAGAAAAAGACAAGCAAAACCAAGAAACAGAUAGAGACAAUGCUUUCAUCAUCUGGUGAAUUAUUUUAGACAAUGGUAAGAUCAAAUGAGGUUGGUAUCUUAACAUAAAAAAAAAUCAAAUUAUUUGGAGGCAUGUGUGUCUGUGUGUGGGUAUGUACAUGUGAGUGCAAAUACCCUUGGAGAUCAAAGAGUGCACCAGAUCCCCUGAACUGGAGUUACAGACAGUUGUGUGGUACCCACUUUGUGCUGGGAACUGCACUUGGAUCCUCUGCAAGAGCAGUAUGUGUUCUUAUUUGCUGACUGAACUAUCUCUCCAGGCCCAAGGUUGGUAUCUUGUGUCUGUAAAGUAUCAACUCAAGCUUAGAUUACCAUCUCAGCUCUGCCUCCAGGCAAGUUCAGCUUGACCUCUCCCAAAUGCUGCUGUGAUUAUUGACAUUUAAGUACAUUUCUAAUUAAUAGUCACUAUACAUUUGUGCCAGUCUCAUAUCCAAGAACUCAGUUGGGUCACCUGAUAGACCCCCGGAGACUGUGCUUUCUUCCCCAAAUGUUGAGAUCUGCUCAUCCUAGUGAACUGUCCAUUAAUACUUUCUUUUUUCUAAUGUCUAAACAAGAAAAAAAAUAACUUAUUUUAUAUAGUAAGAUUUUUUUUAUUUUUUUCUUUAUUUAUCAAAAACUGAGGGAUUUUUGCCCUCCAAUUUUAAAACGCAAGCUCCUGAAGGUUGCACCAGACACUCUUGAUAUAUUCUAGAGACACUUUGUGCCACAUGAAAACAGAAGUGUGCUUUCUUCUCAAAAACUCUCUGUCUUGUUCAAAAUUUGCUUAAGAAGAGCACUGAAAAGUUUGAAUCUAGCUAAACAUUUCAGCAAGCAUAUCCUUAGGGAUGGAGUAUGUUGAUAUUGGCAACUUACUUUGAAAUGCAUCCAAAAAUAAAGAGAUUGAUGGAUGAAUAGAGAGGUGGUAUGUACCUAGUUAAAGUAGAAGCUUAUAUGGGGGCCUUUCUCCAUUCUCAGUCUCCAUUCCCAGGCCAGACUUCAUCCACCAACGACAGGCAGUCAGGGAGACCACUGGGAAUGCACCACCAUCACACUCCUGUACGGAAACAUGGGGACCACUGCUAAUGCACCACCAUCACACUCCUGUACGGAAACAUGGGGACCACUGUUAAUGCACCACCAUCAUACUCCUGUACGGAAUCAUGGGGACCACUGCUAAUGCACCACCAUCACACUCCUGUACGGAAACAUGGGGACCACUGCUAAUGCACCACCAUCAUACUCCUGUAUGGAAUCAUGGGGACCACUGGGGAUGCACCACCAUCGCACUCCCGUACCGGGGUGGAAGAUGUGUAAGGCACCCAUCAGCAGUUCCCAGGGCUGUUCUUGCUCCUGGGCUGGAGUUCCCUCCUCUUUCCCACAGGUCCAUGGGAAGGAACCUGUGGCCUCUUGAACCAUCAGCGGUUGGCCUGCUUGAACUCUUUGGUUGCUCCUCUUCCUCUCCACCGUCCCCACACCUGCCCUUUCUGCCUUCUCCCAACUCCUGGUUCCCCUCCAGAUACAAGAGAACAGAUUUACUCACUUCCUCCCAAGUCAUUCUGUUUUGUGAAUUUCACAGAAAUGGUUACAGGAGACAAAAAUGACAGAUUAGAGAAUCAUAUGACCUCUUAAAGGGAUUAAUUCAUUUUUCUUGAUCUCAAUUAAAACAUAAAUGAUUGAGGACUAUCCUCUCAAGACCUCAUUUCUCAUUCAUGUAUUCACUCCUCCCUGUCCUGAAGUGGCACCACACUUCCAGAGACCUGUGUCUGUGUAGUUCCUAAAAAGAAACCUUUCUGAGCUCCCCACAUCUGCGAGUUUCCUAGGCGCCAGCUUCUGCCGCUAGCUGUGGCCCAAAGCAUUUCCAUCCAGGAGCAGAACAAAGUCAUAUGGUCCUGUCCUUUGCUUCUUAGGGAUAGGAUGGAUCCAAGGCCUCCCAUUCCAACUUUGUCACCUACACAAGCAGGUCAUCAGCUUGUGGGUCUGUCCCUCAGGCCAGUGUUCUUCCUUGAGCUGAGUAUGCCCUAAGAUUCUUUAGAUAAGUAACUUGGGUCUAUGGUUGCCUGAACUACCCUCCCCAGCCCCCCCACCCUCAUUCUUUUGAAAUGCUCACGCUCCUGUUCUUCUGAAGUGUUAUUUGGAUAUGACAUACUGAGAAGGAUCUUAGGCUCUGCAGCAACUUAAGCUUAGAUUACCAUCUCAGCUCUGCCUCCAGGCAAGUUCAGUUUGACCUCUCCCAAAUGCUGCUGUGAUUAUUGACAUUUAAGUGAGUUUCUAAUUAAUAGUCACUGUACAUUUGUGCCAGUCUCAUAUCCAAGAACUCAGUUGGGUCACCUGAUAGACCCCCGGAGACUGCUCUUUCUUCCCCAAAUGUUGAGAUCUGCUCAUCCUAGUGAACUGUCCAUUAAUACUUUCUUUUUUCUAAGGUCUAAAAUUACCAACUCAGUGGGGAUCCCAGCAAAUGAUUAAGUUCUUCUAGGUAAGUGUCCCAAAUCCAUAUGUGUGCAUGCGCAUUGCAAGCCAGAGGUCAGCUUCUGAUGUCAGCCCUCCGGUGCUCUCUAAUUUUUUUUUUUUGAGACAAAGCCUCUCACUGGGCUUGAGGCUGGCCAGUUAGCUUAGGUUGGCUGACCAGUGAGUCCUAGAGACCUGCCUGUUUCUGCCUCCUGAGUUCCGAAAUUUGUUCUUCUUGUCCUCCUCCUUCCCCUCCCGACUCCUCUUCCUUUCUCUUCCCAUCCCUUUCCUUCCAUUAUUUACCUCCUGCCCUCCCUCCUCACUAACCCUGGUUGCCUCUGUCUCUGUCUGCCAGGAACUGUACCUUCAGCCCCUACCCACUAGGCAAGUGUUUUACCACUGAGCCAUACUCCUAGCCUAGUCUUUUCAUCCCAGGAAAUACAGCAGAUGGCCAAAUUUCUACCAGGGAAACACAUUCUCAGACUAGCAAAAGGGACCAUUGGCUAGGCCACAUAGCUCAUAGGGACACAGCUUGCCCUAUUGUGGCUCUUGUAAAGAUGAAGAGUGAGUGGAAGAGGGGGAUAUGUCUCCCUGAGCCUGAGAUGCUCUGCAUGUACAGACGCUGGAGUCCCAGGUUGCCUGCCUGGCUUCUCCCAAGGACCGUCCUCCCAAGAGUAAGUUAUAUAUGGGCUCCUGCCUCUCACAGGUGAAUGAGGAGGGACUCUAGGUGGGCUGAGUGUCCAUAUAUGUGGGGAAGGACUUUCCCGAUAUGCGAGAGAGCCAGGAGUGUGCAGGGGUGGGGUGGGGGGUGAGGUUGUAGGCUGUGCACCACACUGCUGAACAUUCUGGUAUGGAAUACUAUGCGUAAUGGAGAAUCUUAAUGUGAGUCUGACCUGAAAAAGGUGUAUUUGUGGGAGUAAAACUGUGCUAUUAGCAUGCUGACUGAGUGUGUGCUGUUUCUUACACAGUAUAAAAGACAUGGUGUGGCAGCACCCAUCUCUUCCCUCAUCCAUCUGGGUCUUACAAACACUGGCCUGUACCACAGCUGGAAGAAGCAUUUGGAGGUUCCUCUAGAUACCAGUUGGUUGUAGUUGUCUUUGUAGGUAACUAAAUUUUUAAUAUUAAAACACAGGGAAGAAAAAAAUCUAGAAAUCCCAUUCGAUAGUUGAGGCAUACAGUCUAUAUAGUUUUUGAAAGAUAAAAUACUAAAAUAUGAAUGUUUCAUGUUCUAGUCAUAUUUGCUCUAAUUAAUUAGAAUACUGAUUGCCUGCUUUCUUUCUUUCUACUGAUGAAUCAAAAAGGCAGGCUGGGUUUUGCACUUGAUCCAGUCCCCAGUUCUGUGGUCCUUGUGAGGUCCUCACCCGAUGCAUGGAAAGACAAUGGUUAUCAUCAUCACUCUGAAGAGGAUGCUCAGGAGCCAGGGCAUCUAAGGACAAAAUCUCCCUCACCCUCUGCUGAAUAGUAUUCAGCAUGAAACAGAUGAGCUUGGAAGAUGAAGAGUUAAGGAAUACUCAAGGAAAGGACAGUCAUUCCUUCAUAAAAUACAACUUAGAGUAAUUUCCCCAGUCGGAUUUUCAAAAGAAAAUUCAAGGGAUACAAAGAGAAAAGAUUUAGGAAAUACAGGAAAGUGAUGUGCCUAAGACUAUGAAAGUAUCUUGCAUCCACAAAGUUCUGCCUAUGUAUUGCUAACGUGAGGUGACAUAAGUACCAUAAGGCUGACGUAACGGGAUCUGGAGCCAGACUACCUGGAUCUGAAUUCUGACUCUUGGUUUGGAUGCAGUUUGCCAUAUUCAGAAACACACGUUGAAAGGUGGUGUUGGAAGAGAUUAAUGUUUUUCUUGUGAGACCAAUGUUCACAGGAAUGGCUUAGGUGGGCGGUGACAAAGCAAAGUGGCAGCUUUGCUUCGGCUGUCUCCUCCACACACAUUGUGAGGUCCUCACCUGAAGCCAGGCACAUGCUAGCACCCUGCUCUUGGACUUCCAGAACCAUGUGCCAAAUACACAGCAUCUCUUUACACAUGACUCGACUCCAAGUGUCUGAUCCAGCAACAGAAAAGACUAGCCUGAGUGAGGAUGGAAUUCUUUCCUUCUCCAUUCCUUCCAGGGUCCACAACAGUGUCUUUCUCACAGGGAAGACAUCAACACUCACUAAGUUAAUAUCUAUGAAACCAAAGAGAGUGCUGGCAGGUGGUGGGUUGAAAUAACAAAACUAAAGCCCAGAGAGGUUAGCAACUUGUUCCCAAACACACAGCAAAUUAGUCAAACAUCUGGGGUGGGAUAGGGGCAUCCAAACCUUAGGCCUGUUUCAGAAAAUUGCACAUUGCCGGAGAGCUGAUUUUGGUCAAAACACAGGUUUGUAUAAUUUGUUGCUUCUCUAAAGGAAAAACAAAAGAAUUCUAAGAAGUCACACAGUGCUUGUCCUGGUAAACACUGACUUUUCUUCUCAUUAUACCUUCUGCAUUCUGUGUUUUUUUUCACCCUAUGCUGUGAUUUUACAGGCUUUUCAAGUUCAUUAUUUAGGAUUAAUUUUUAUUUUAACUACGUCUGUAUGUCUGUGAGUUUAUGAGUGUGAGUGCUGAUGCCUGAGGAGAUCAGAGACUUCAAGUCUCCCUGGAGCUGGAGUUAUAGGAGCUUGUGAGCUGCCCAGUGUGGAUGCUGGGAACUGCUCUUAACCGAUGAUCUGUCUCCAGCCCUCAAGUUCAUUUGUAAGUUCCCACAAGUAAGUCUGUGGAGAUAGGCUACAGUCACUGUUUUCCUUGUGUGUUAGCUGUUCUGGAGAAAAGACAAGUGAUAUGUGAUUACACAUGUGCACACACAAACACACACCACACACAUAAACAUGUGAUCACACAUGCACUCACACAUGCACACACGUACACAUGCACCUAGGUAUGUGCACACACAUGUAAACAUCCUUGUAGCGGGGCAAGAGAUAGCAUGAUAAGAUAACAGAAGGGUAAGAAGAAAUGGGGAGAAUGUAUAGUAACGUAAGAAGGAAAGUAACCCCAAGCACUCUCCCUGCUUGUGGACUCUUAUUAAAUCCUGCACAUGUAAGUAAACUCUGAGGUAGAUAUUACAUUGCACACACCUGCCUUGUAAAUGACCUAAACAUUAGCAUAUCAUGGGUAUGUGUUAGAGAUAUGCCUCAGUCAUAGAAUGCUUACCUGGCACAUACAAGGUCCUGGGUUCAAAUCCUUAGCACUGCCAAAAUAAUCAGAAAUAAACAUAAACCCCCCCAAAAAACCAAGAAGUGUAAUAGGUCUUUUAGAGCUGGUGAGAUGGCAUGUGUUCUGAUCUCCAUAUAUAGACAGUGGCAUCACACACACACACACACACACACACACACACACACACACACACACACACUAUGUAAGUAAAUAAAAAUUAUACAUAUAUAAAGUGGGCCUGGUGAGAUGGCUCAGCAUGUAAAGGCAUUUGUCCCCAGCCCGACACACUGAGCUGGAUUCUCAGGACCCACACAGUGUGUUGUGUUCUUGCACAGCUUUAGGGUUUGACCGACUGGGGUGGUGAGGGAGUGAAGACAAGACAAACACACAGACAGAAACGGUGGGAUUGGGUGGACCGGACUCUGAGCUGGAGACGCCACAGCACCCUGGAAGCUCAACGUGUUUAUUAUAGACAGCCGAACAGGGAGUUGCUGCGUACAGCUGAACAAGGAGGCAGGGGCUGAGGCACUGCGGUCCUUAACUGGGCUGUGUCCUUGCCAAACAAUAGGGACCACUCAGGACUUCACUCCCUCCCGACCACAGUGGAAGGAAAGAAGUGACUUUUGAAAGCUCUCCUGUGAUCUCCACUCACUCAGCGUGGCACACACUCCCCUCUGAGCAAACAAAAAGUACAUUUUUUUAAAAGCUGGAAGAAAAGCCUUUUGAAAAAAAAAAAAGUAUGCUUCCUAAACUCUUGAACGGUGUUUUUUUUUUUAAAAAAACCUGAAUCUUUUAAAUGGCUGUGUAUUGUUCCAAUGUGUAAUCCCUCUAGUGGGAUGUUAAAAGUUUCUCUAGUGCUCUUUAUUAUACAUGCAAUCAGGUGACUUAUUAGAAUGUUAGUGUAAAACACUGAGAAUAUUUGGAGACUAAAUUGCCUGAUUUCUAGGCUGUAGUUUCAUUUUAAAACUACAGAUGUCUUUCUUCUCUCUUCUUUCCAAGCUGCACCCUGGAUGUCUUGGACCCAGAGACAAGGCAACAGACUCUUGCUAUAAAAGCAUGUUCCUGGGAGGGUGAGUGAUGGGAAGUGCAGCCUACAGGAAGUCGCAGGCAGGAUGGAGAGGAUGGAGGCUUUGAACUUGCAGAGGGUCUGGGACGUUUGGAGUCAGGGAAAUUAGGUUUGGUUCCUCCUAAGGCUGGGAUAAUAGAACCUUGGUAGGAGACUCUGAGGAUGCCUGGUGAAGACCCUGCACCCCUGUGGAUCAAGGAGGUGUAAGACCAGCAGAGGGGAUGGCUGUGACCAUACAUCCAUAGAAACCAACUGGGAACCAUCUUACCUAAAUUCAAAUAUGGGCUAUUUUCUACAACUCCAAGGGAUGGAGGAAGAAAACUCCUAAAUAGAAACAGCGAAAGACUGGGCACCAAACCUGCACCUGAUCAUUUCCUUAGGAUGUGUUUCUGCAAACAGAAUGAACCUGAGACUCAGAAUGACUUAAGGCUUUCUGUGCAUUUAUUUUUCAAGUCUAUGUGGCUUCUAUUUAUCUCUGACAAAAUGUUAUUAGGGAAAGGUGGGAGAGCAAAAUUAGCCAAGCUAAUUGAUCAUUAAGUAUAAUCGUCCAUUAAAUACAAAUUUCCAUUUAUAAUCUAUUUCAUCCCAGAGGAUUUCAAUUAUUAGAUUGCUUUAUUGAUACACCGAGGAGAUAAUCAUUAAGUGUGUAAACAAACAAUAUAAAUUUCCACACGAGAAAGAGAAGAAUAUUGAUCGGCUAUGCAUAUUGUCAGGAAGUCAUCUAGAAGGGUGAAAAUAGGUACUAGAAUAAACAGAGGCGAGUCUCAUCUCAAAACCUAUCUCCCACCUCUUGGCAAUUUCUCAAUAGUUUUAGGACAUAACCCCAUUUUGUGGUCAAUGGUUCAGCUGUAUGAACUUGGGAAAGUGGCUUGACUUCUCUGAGCCUCCAAUUUCUCUUUCAUAAGCAGUGGGUAAUGCUGAGACCUCAUCUUGGAAAGUUUCCAGCAAAAAUAAAAGAAUUAAACUUGGAACUUUCUAGAACAUUCCUGGUGCCCCAUGAGCCUGUGAACAUCUUCAGGAGCAUGGAGCACAAUGUCGAGCCUCUGGCCUUACUCUCCAACAUGCCCUCUCCCUGUCCCCACUCCAUAGGUAGACCCCAGCUGACAUAAGGGUCUUGUCACACUCUCAGCUCCCAUAGUCUUAUUUUUCCUGACUUCCCAGGUUUCUUUUCUGUCUGGAAUGAGGGCUUCACUCUUUUCUUGCAUUUCUUGCUGAAUGCUUCUCCUGGAGAAGUAAUAAGGAUUGCUGAUCGCUGCUUCUAUCUAGUCCUUGUCUUGGCAGACCAGCAUUGUUAAGAAGAUAAUGGCUUUCUUUGCAAAACCCUUCAGUCUGAGCUGGACACAACUCUCAGGGCCACUUGUGAUAAUUAGCAGAGUAUCUUAGUUGCUCCAGCAUAGGAAAGUUCCCUGAGGUCAGGGAGCAUGUACACUGUUCAUAUCAGUUGGUCCCUGUCCUCUGUCGCCAUCUUAGGUACUCAAUCAUGGUUUAUGUUUGUUCUGUUUGGUUUCUUGGUGCUAGGGAUCAAACCCAAGGCUCCUAUAUAACAGACAAGCACUCACCACUGAGCUACCAUCCCGGACUCAACCACCAUCUCCUGAAUGACUUCACUUGUCAUAGCAUAAUGCAGAGUCAGGGGACAGGACACCUCAUGUUAGUUUUGUUCCAAGCAUUCUGCCUUCAUUUCACUAGACUUACAUGGAGCAAACAAGCCAGAAUUGUGACACUUUCACAGAUUUCAUGAAUUGCAGUUUCAAAAAAGAUGCCAUGUGGUACCCAGGAUAGGUCUUUCUGAUAAGAUCAGUGGCCAGGAUGAAAGCCGCAAGAUACUGGGCAAAAAGUUUGGCAUUCAAAGUGGGGCAGAUCCUACCCAGCUUUGUAGAUGAGCUGUGUGACUUGUUUGCUGUUUCUGGGUCUCAUUUCUUAAUUUAAAAAAUAUAGCUGAGGGCUGGGGAGAUGGCUCAGUCAGCAAAAUGCUUGUGGAGCAAGUGUGAGGAUCCGAGUUCAAUUCUCAGGACCCAUGUGAAAAAUCUGGGUAGGGUAGCAUGUGACUGUACUCUCACAACUGAAGCAGAGAUAAGGGCGUUCUGAUUAGCCAGUGUAGCCUACUCAGCAACUUCAAGACCAGUGAGAGACCCUGUCUUUAAAUAAAAAAGGUGGACAGAGCCUAAGGUAGGACAUCCUAAUUUGUCCUCUGGCUUCCAAAUGCAUUGUAUCCCGAUAUUCAUCCACCCCUCAUAGACACACACACACACACACACACACACACACACACACACACACACACACACACAUCAUACCUACACACACAACUGUAGCUAGCAGCAGCUACCUUGUGAUGUGAGGAGGUCUCACCACAGCACGGAUUUCCAGUAUUCCACCACUUAGAAUAUCAGCUCCUAAGUAGAUGCUCAAUAAAAAUCUGUUGGCUAUAUAUGAAACGAGCUAAAGACUAUUGGUGAUGUGUGUCGCAGAGCCCGGUGUGUGCUGGAAAGAGCUGCUAGCUGUCAAAACUCCACAGAAGCAACAGGGGCUAUUGUGCUUCCCUCAGGGAAUCAGGAAAUACAAUAAAAAAAAAAAAAGGGCCGGAGAGGUGGCUCAGCAGGUUAACGUGCUUGCCAUUAGACCUGAUGGCCUGACCCCCAUCUCUCGGACCUACAUGAUGGAAGGAGAGAACCAAUUCCAGGAAGUUCUGCAAGCUGUCCUCUGCCUCUGCAUUCAUGUUGUGGCACACAUUACACCCCCAUAAAUAAAUAAAUGUAAUUUUUAAAAAUUAAAAAAAAUCACUUUGAAAGAAGUGUGAUGGGGCAGCAGCUGGGCAGUGGUAGCACACACCUUUAAUCUCAGCACUCAGGAGGCAGAGGCAGGUGGAUCUCCGAGUUUGAGCCCAGCCUGGACUGCAGAACGACUUCCAGGAGAGUUAGGGCUACACAGAGAAACCCUAUCUCAACAAACAAACAAACAAACAAACAAGAACAACCCAAAACAACAUAAAAAUCAAAACCCAAAAAGGGCUAUCAAGAAGGCUCAGUGGGUACAGGUACCGGCUGCCAAGCCCGAGCAUGGAGUUUGAUCACUGGGACCAUGUGAUGGAAAGAGAGAGAACUGACUCCUGUAGGUUGUGAAUGCUGUCAUUCAUUCAUACACACACACACACGCACACACACACACACACACACACACACACACACACACCCCCCCACAUGGAUGCCAUAGCACAUGCUACACAAAAAAUAAAUAAAUGUGAUUAAAAUGUUAAAAAGUAAAUGUAUGAAAGAAAUUAUUUGUUAUUAAGAAAGAAGUCCCAUGUCACAAAGGACUGUAAAGGAAGAAAAUGUCCUUAGAUUAGCUUUAAAUAUGGUGUAGACCGGUGUAGAAAGGGGCCUCCCCUUGGUCAUUCCCUUACUCUCUAGUUAACAUGUCCAGGCUGACCCAGACCUGGGGAGGGUGUCCUUGUCUAGGACAGAUGAGCCAUUGCCAUUACGGGUCCCGGUGUGGCCAAGUCUAUGUGGCCAUGGGAGGCAGAAAGACCAGGCGAUCUCCGCACACUUGCCAAGUGCCAUGCAAAUGUGUUCAUAAAAAUAAGCACAACCUAUAAUCUUGUAGCAUAUUCUGUCUAGGGAAGUUUUGUGACUGCAUUGUAAAAUGCCCACAGCACAUUCAAAUGCUUCUAUCACAUCUACCUAAUAGAAUGUUAGACCAAUUUUUAGAUAAAUGGUCCAAAUGCAUUUUAUUAGUGUGAAUCAAUGUUGAGUUUCUGAUAUUUUGCUUGUACCUCAUUUAUUAAGUCUUUUUUCUUGACAUACCUGGAAUCAACUGUGAAUAAGAGGUACAACAUUAUUCCUAGAACUGGGGAGACAAAUAAACUUUGGAAAUUUUCCAGUGAAGAUGGAGGUGGGGCAUGGCCAGCAUUUCUCGUGUGUGUGUGUGUGUGUGUGUGUGUGUGUGUGUGUGUGUGUGUGUGUGUGUGUGUGUGUGUAUACAUAGAAUAUUCUGGAGACAGGGUCUCAGGUUUCCCAGUCUUGAACUUACUAUGUAGUCAAAGAUGACUUUAAGCUUCUACCUGCCCAGUGCUAACAUUCCAGGCACACACUACCAUGCUCAUGUGGAGAUGGAGAUGGAAUCCAGGACUUUUUGCACACUAAAAAAAAUUCUACCAACUGAGCUACAUUCCUAGCCCAUAAUCCUGUAUUUUUAUUACAUCUAUCUAUCUAUCUAUCUAUCUAUCUAUCUAUCUAUCUAUCUAUCUAUAUCUAUGUACCCAUCCAUCCAUCCAUCCAUCCAUCCAUCCAGGGUGUGUGUGUGUGUGUGUGUGUGUGUGUGUGUGUGUGUGUGUAUGUGUGUGUUUUGUGUGGGCACACAUGCCAUGGCACAUGUGUAGAAAUCAGAGGACGAUUUGUAGAAAUUAGUUCUCUCCUUCUACCACGUGGGUCCCAGGGAUUGAACUCAAGUCGUCAGGCUUGGCAGCAAUCACACUUACAUACUGAGCCAUCUCACUGGCCCUCUCCUGUAUAAAUACAUAUAUUUAUACUGUGUGGUAAUUUGAGAGGUCAAGAAUGGAUAGUUUUCAAUUAGUGAAUUGAAUGAUCGUAUACCUAAUGAAAUCAUUGGAUAGUCUUUAAGCUUCAGGCAAUGAAGUCUCUAAGUCUCUAAGACACAGAGGGUAUUUCUCUACUCAAAUCUUUUCAUAUUCAGAAAAAUGAGUAGCCGACUUGAGUCUUUGGGGAGGUUUUCAUAUGGCCUAAUGACAAGACUAUUCCAAAUAAUAUAUAGAACUCAGUUGACUGAUCUUGUAGCAGAUAACCACUGAAUAUCCUGACACUGGUUCCUAAUCACUUUUUUCUUUCCUGCCUCUACUACAGGUGCUGGGAACAUAAAUCUCUAUGUCCCCUGCUUCCUGUGUCCCUGAAAGUGAGGACAAGAAAACUAAGGACCCUCACUGUUCAGUAACUACUGAGGUGAUGGGAGGCAGGGCUAUGGGUUCAUGUGAUGAAAGAUGACUACCCUGUCUGGUGGUACUGCUUUCUCCUUCUUCUAUCAAGUGCUGAUGUGGUGCUUGGAAUAGUGGUACCAGUGUCUAAUCACAAGGAAAAGACAACGGCACCCAAGGCCACCAGUUCCCAUUUCUUAUUGCUGCUAUUGCAUGUGCAUGUGUGUAUGUGUGUUCAUAUGUUUGUGGGUACACAUUGUGUGUGGGGGUGUGUGGAAGCCAGAGAUUAUCACUAUGCCUGCCUGACAUUAACAUGGGUGCUAAAGAUUUGAACUCUAUACUGCAUCCUUGUGUGCCAAACACUCUUCCUAUUGAACCAUUUCCCCACCUUCUAUGGGCCCUAAAUCUAGAGUUCUUGGACCACUACUGGUAGCUACUAGCCUCUAAACUCCUGAGAGAAUCUAUCCCUGCUCUGUUACGCCACUCUUGGUGGGUAUUAUAUUGUUUGCAGUUGACCUCAAAGAAUCUUGAGUUCACCCUAAAGAUGUCAUGUGACAGAAAAUACAUAAGUCCGAUCAACUGCAGUAAAUAGAUCACUGUCCUAUUUUGUAAGGUGCUUCCAACAGCUCUUGAGGACAUUGGUUCCUUUGUUGCCCUUCUCUUCCAAUUCUUUGACACCCUCCUCUCUGUCCCAUUCCUAAAUCUCUAGGUCUGCUUUUCUCUUCUUCUCAUUAUUAUAAUUAUUAUUAAUUAUUAUUAUCUUGUGGACCCCAAACUGGCUUCAAACUGGCUAUUUAACUGAGGAUGACCUUGAACUUCCAAUCCCGCCUCAUCCUCCGGAAGUCUGGGACUAGAGGUAUGCGCCCCCACGCCUAAUUUUAUGCACUGCUGGAGAUCAAAUCCAAGGCCUCACUCAUGAUACACAAAUGCUCUACCAGCUCAGCUCCAGCCCCACCUCUUAGGGCUGCUUUCUUCUUAAGGACAUACAUCUGUGUGUCACUUUUUCUGUAAGCUGUGCCCUGCACCACGGUUCUCCAGCAGGACACUUCUCAGUGUGGUCACUGUGCAGAGUUUCUCAUGAAGUUUCCGUUGUAGAUGCUGUGUCCCACUGUCCCUAUGUAUUGACACAUGUCCCAGUUUGUAUGUGUAUUGGUGGAGGGGGGCAGUGAUAACAUUAUUUUUCUUGGUUCAAUAUUAGCUUGAGAGAUGGGGGUCACUGGAUCUUCCUGUUUUAACUUCUUCACAAAACAAACUAUUGAGUCACAGGUUAAGUAAUCUGCUUCUACAUGUCAGUAACCCUGCAGAAAGAGAGAUGAACACUGGAUGGGAGAGAGAAAUUGCAUUAGUAGUCACUGGCCACCUAGUAAAUGGCAGUUUGACUAUGCUAUUUUCGGGUGAGCAUGGAUGUUCUAAUGAGUAAGGUGCUGUUUCUAUCAAGUUCUGGAAAAAUUUAUUUUUUAAAAUAAGACACAGGACUAAACACAAGUCAGUUAUGAAUGCUUAUUGCUCUUUCUGGGAGUUCAGUUCCCAGUAUUCAUGUUGCAUGGCUCACAGUACUGAUACCUCCAACUCCUGUCGAUCUGAUACCUCUUCAGGUACCCACAAAUACAAACACACGCACGCACGCGCGCACACACACACACACACACACACACACACACACACACACACACACACACAAACAUACACCAAAUAAUCCAACUCAAUUUCUUUUAGCAAGCAAAAUUAUCCUUGGAAAUAAGUUCUUAAGCCAGACAUAGUAAAGUCAUGUCUGUCACGCCAGUUCUCAGGAGGGUGAGGCAGAAGGACUGUUGUUCCAGGCCAGCCUGGGUUAUAUAAUGAGUUCCAGGCCAGCCUGGGCUACAGUGUAAGACUUUGUCUUCCACUCCCACCCAACUCUCACCAAAGAAAGAAAUUAAAUUCCUGCUAAAUAAAAUGAGAUGGCUGAGUUUUGUUUUCUCUAAGGUCAGUCCAGCUUCUUCCUUUAAAAAACCUGCUGCUUCGGGGGCUAUCUCAGAAAGCAUAUGUAUACAGGAGACUAGGAGAAUGCUCAUGGAAUGCUGGGGUCAUGGAAAGAGCAUGGAAGUCAUUCUCGGUGGUUUAGACCCGGUCAAAGCCAGGCCAAUUUGAGCAUUGUGAUAUGUUAUUUCAUAAAUAGUUUAAUCCAACCAAUAAAAAAGGGAGGCAAUAAUAUACAGGAUAAACAAACUGAGAAAUUUGAGUCAUCAAGGUAUUACUCCUCCAUAUACUUAAGUCCCAGAGGAAGUGUGCUGGCUGCAUUUAUGUCAAACAGCAGAAACUACAGUCAUCUGAGAGGACGAAACCUCAGCUGAGAAAAACGCCUCCUUAAGAUGGAGCUGUGGGCCAGCCUGUAGAGCAUUUUCUUAAUCAGCGAUUGAUGGGGAAGGGCCUAGCCCAUUGUGGAUGGUGCCACCCUUGGGCUGUGGUCCUGGGUUCUAUAAGAAAACAGACUGUGAGCAAGACAUGUAGGGCAAGCCAGUAAGCAGCACCCCUCCAGGGCUUCUGCAUCAGCUCCUGCCUCCAGGUCCCUGCCCUGUUUGAGUUCCUGUGCUGACUUCUUUUGCUGAUGAACAGUGAUGUGGAAGUCAACAAAUAAACCCUUUCCUCUCCAACUUGCUUUUGGUCACGGUGUUUCGUUGCAGCAGUAGAAACCCCAGCUGAGACAGAGGGGAAGGGAGUCGCUGUGCAGUGAGCAGCCUGGCAGACCUUGUCUUUGGAAAUGGACCUGAAUAUCACUGGAGGGGGUGCAAACUGAAGACACCCAUCACCUAAAGGCGUAAGCGGAACAGCAGCCCUGGGGGUUAUUCCUACCUGUGAUGUCUAGCCAAACAGGGAAGGCCUGUACAGGGAACUCGCACUCUGCAAGUAUGUUAGGUUCAUGGAGUAAGGCUGAGCCACUGUUUCCCACAGAAGAAAGGGGAAGAAAGUGGUGAUGCCUUGACACUGAAGGGGUUAGCCUGCCCUCCUCCAUCCUUGUGCUACUUUCCCUUGACACUGAAGGGGUUAGCCUGCCCUCAUCCACCCUUAAACUAGUUUCCCUUGACACUGAAGGGGUUAGCCUGCCCUCCUCCAUCCUUAAACUAGUUUCCCUUGACACUGAAGGGGUUAACCUGCCUCCUCCAUCCUUGUGCUAGUUUCCCUUAACACUGAAGGGUGUGAGAUUCAGGGACUGAAUCCUUUUGUUGUAAGUCCAUUUCUGAGCGCACUGGUGGAACUUUAAUUCUCCUCCCUGCAGAAACGGGAGGAUAGCAAGGUACCCAGUGCUGGUUUGCUGACUUCGAUGGUCCUGUUGUGGUUUUGUAGAAGAAUGUCCCUUGAUGAUAGGAAAACAUACACUAAGAUAUUCUAGGUGAUGGAACAACAGGCCACUAACAUACUUCUGGAUGGUUCUGAUAAAGAGCUAUCUGUGCAGAAACUCCAGCAUCUCUGCAAAUUGGUGAUAAUUUUGAAAAGUAAAGUAUGGCACUGGGUGUGAUGGUUCCCUUUGUAAUCCCAGCACUUGGGAGGCUGAGACAGAAGAACUGCCACAAAUUCUGAGGCUAGCCUGGCCUAGCUGUGUAGUAAAACUCUGUCUUUUAAAGGCAGACAAGAUCUCCCAAACAACCCCUCAAUCCCCAAAGAACUUAUAAACAGUAUCAAAGCAAAUAAUGAAUCAUUUAAAAACCAUUAUCUAACUCAGAAUUAAAAAAAAAGAUUUAUUUUAUUUAAUUUAAUGUGUAUGUGUUUUGCUUGCAUAUGUUCACACCAGUUGCUUGUAGAGGCCCUGGCAUAGGAUCUCCUGGAACUCGAGUUACAAACAGUUGUGAGCAACCAUGUGGGUACUUGGAAACAAAUCUGGGUGCUCUUAACCACUGAGCCAUCUCUCCGUCUCUCCCUGCAGUAAUUCUUAAAAGCAAAAACCAACAAUUUUCCAUUGUCAAAAAUAGACAACAGCUUUGUUUCUAUGGAAUUUGCCUGAGUAUUAGCACCAAUGCCACAGGGCACAAGAAUGUGGGUGCCACCCACGUUCAGGGUGGGUCUUCCCCCCUCAGUCCUCUCUGGAAAUACCUCACAGACACACCCAAAGGUGCACCUUAGGAAUGCCCAGGGUGUUUCUUAUCCAGUCAAAGUGACAGUCAAAUUAACGAUGCAUUGCAUUUGAUACAGAAACCUUGCCCUGGGCAUGUAGCUUAGUUAGAAGAGUGCUUGCCUGGUACACACAAAGCUAUGGAUUCGAGUCCCAGCACUGCAUAAACCAUGAGUGCUGGCUGUGCUUGUAAUCCCAGCAUCUGGACAGUGAAGGAAGAAAGAUCAGGAGUUGGAAGUCACUAGUUAAUGAGUUUCAAACCACACGGAGCCACAUGAGACCCUCAAACAAAAUAAGCCAAAAAAAGAAAAGAAAGAAAUCUUGCCUGGUUUUGUUGUCUGGCUGACAUCUCUGCUGACCCGCUGUCUGGGUUGUUUUCCCACAUGAUGGGGUUUGUCGAUCCCUUUCCAUUCCUACGAUGGAUUCUCUGACACUGAAGGGAAACUCCCUCAGACACUUGAUUCAGAAUCCAAUCCAGAUUAAUACUGGGUCCAUGUGAACCUCAGCCUCAUAUGAGAGUAGGUGAACUUGUAUCAGCAGGAAGGAACAUUCUAGAUAAGCUUCCUGGGAGGCAGCUAGGUUAAAGAAGAAGACUCCUGGGGUUUGAGAGUGUGCUGGCCACUUGUAUGCGCUCUUGGGCAAGUCACUUGAACUCUUAUGUAUCUUUUACUUAUGAGACAUGGAAACUGUGUCAUAUAACCAAUGAGAUGUUGUGUAUGAAGUGUCACAAGCUUCUUGUACUUGAGAAGUCUGAGCAUGCACUGAACACCCUGAGGUGACUGGUGUUUCAGUCUACCCAGAACAGGAUGGACUGAUUCUCUCCAGGCACAGCCACAUUCCCACAUUUCUUCAGGCUCAGUGAGAAUGCUCAGUAUUCCAUCAUUUGGGACAGGCCACGCUAUCCAGCAAUAACAACCAACUCCAUAUCUCAGUAGCUUUUAGAGCAACCAAAAGUCCAUUACUACUGUUUUCUUCAAGCAAAGACCUCCGAAGGCCCUGGUGACCUUCCAGGGAAGGCUUCCCUUUGGGAUAGUUCAGCCUCCUUCUUCAGACAGGGCUUUAUGGUGCUGAGGCAGGAAAAAAGGGGUACAGCUGAGCUGGAGUGAUUAGAUGCUUGAGUCAGAUAGGAAAUUCAAUUUCCCUCAUGUUGCAUUGGUAAAGACCAGACCUGUGGCCUGAUUGGAAUGCGAGAAGCUAAAGUAAUGUAAUCCCUUGAAUUUCUUAAAAGCAAAAAGCAAGUGAGACCCUGUGGCUCUCUGUCUGCUGGGAAGGGAAGUUCUAGUCAAGUGUUAUUAGAAUUGCCAAGUUUGUAAACUCCACAAAGCCUUUGGUGGCCACUCCAGUCAUCUCCACAAAUGAUUCCCCUCUGAAACAAGAGUGUAAUGAUAUCUAUUACAUUUAACCUGCUUUCUCCUCCCCCCUUUUCAUCAUUUUUGCAGUUUGAUGACUCAGAGCAGUGGCAUUGAAUCACACCAAGCAUAUACUAUGUGCUUACCACAUACUGAUGGAUGAACACCACUGUACAGAAACUACAUUUGAAAAGGCAAUGGAUUGAUAGAUCCAAAGUCACAAGGCUGUGAUGGAGCCAGAGAAAGAUUUUUCUUGCAUCCUGCCAUUAGCCACAAGAGUGCUUUUAUUACUUCCUUGAGAAAAGUUGGCCCCAGCAGAGUCAUUUAUGUCUGUUGGCAGUUUCCAAAGGGGUUGAUUUGUCUCAGGCAUUUUGUCCUAACUACAGAACACCGAUGAAGACAAGACAAUGACAAUAUGACACUUAGCACGCACUUGCCUGUGUGGGCUCGGCUGCCCUUUGGCUUGGCUGUACAACUGACUAACAAGGGCUCAUAGUAGAGGGUGUCUACAAAGAUUUUUCAAUUUUGGAACAACAUAUUCUGGAUCCAGCUAUUUUUGUGGCCUGGAAUGAAGAUGCAUCUAUAGUACAUCAUGUUCCAAAGACAAAAGCUCCAUUCUAAACAUGCCUGAGACAGAUACAGAAGGAACUGGAGUCCUCAUUGCCAUGGCUCUUGCUGUGGGACCAGCCUUCACUGCCAAUAUCUGGAUCUCUCAGAACAGAGGAUAACCUUAUGGUUCCUAGACUUGAGGUGGGCAUUCACACUCAUUCAAAGGACUCUCGAUUCAGAAAUUCUGGAUGGAGACUAAAAACUAAUGCUCUAGAUCCAGAUCCAAACCCCAAUGAGACUGAUUCAUCUAUUGGGGAGAACAGUGUUAGAACCCCUUGGACAGCUGAACUGCCAUCCACUGAAGCUACUGUUGGUUGGAUUUUCACACACUCCCAACUGUACACAGAGAAACCCCAUCUCGAAAACAAAACAAACAAACAAAAACAAAUAAAUAAACCCCAAAAUCCAAACCCAAACAAAACAAAGGCAUAUUUGGUACCCAUUGUCCAGCCUUCCCCAGCCCACCUCCUUUCCUAUAGAGCUUACUAUUCUACUCUGGUCAAUGAAAUCAACUUUUCUCAGCCUCCACAUCUAGGUGAGAAAAAUGCAUCCUUUGCUUUUCUCUGCCUGGCUUAUUCUACUAAAUGAAAUACCUCUAUCCAUGUUGUUCCAGAUGAUACCGUCAUAUGAAUUUGGCUAGAUGACGUUUUGUUUUGUAUAUAUACCCAUUCUUCCAUAAACAGAACCCUUAGUCAGAGAAUCUCAACAUUUUUUUUCCUCUUCAGAUGCAGUAGGAUCACACCCAGGGCCUCACCCCUGCCAGGCAAGCUCUUUUCUACCGAGCUAUAUCCUCUGGCCCAAGAAUCUCUACUUUUAACUUGGAGGCAUGGUCAGAGCUAAAUGGGGGAGACACGCAGGAUAGGAGAGGGAACUAGAAUUUGUAGAACAUCAGAUAUCAAUUCCACUUUCAAGUUUCCUGCUCUCUUUCCUUAUCCCUACCCAUAGAACCUGGGCGAAUUCUUUAUUCUAAACCUCAAUUCGUCUCUGAACUUGGGGUGACAAUAUUUAUCAGACAGACUUGUUGUCAGGCCUACUGAUGAUGUUAGGGACUCAGAGACAGCCUGAGUGUCAGCCCCUGGGGAGUGGGAUGAAUACGUGUCUCAGCAUCUUCUGUAGCAGAAAAACACAACAGAAUAGAUGCACAAACACCAACUCACACAAGCCCCGAAAAUACAGGGGCUCAGGGGGAAAAAGAAAGGGACUGAAUUACCUGUAGAAAUUGGACAAUUCGAAAGUGAUGCAUAUCAAGUCCUGUCCAUUAUGAUUAUCUAUACUACCAUUGGAAUGGGUAGGAGAACAAGAUCUAGACACAAAAGCUUUGGAAAUAAAUACAAGAGCGUCUGUCAGGCUGGUGAAGGUCUGUGUCAGACAAUAGUAAGCUAAGGAGCUGACACCCUGUGGACAGGACAGUAGCAAGCAGGAGCCUGGUGGCUGCUCUCUAAUGCCUAUUUAUUUCCUCAUCUACAUAAUUGAGGCUAUGCUUUACAUAACCACUAAGAAUAAUUAAUGCCCCAACCUCUUUCAAAGGUGCUGUCGGGCAAGUUCUCACUAACAUUAUAUGACUGCAAAAGUCACUAGAAACUUCUGGGGCGUUUCCCUGAGGAAAGGAGUCUUCAUAAAGGAUUUGGAGCAAAAGUGUGUGUCAGAGAGAAUGGCAAUGAUCUAGAAUGUGGGAAACUCUCCCCUCAGCUGACCCAAGGAAGCUAGUUGUCCUCAAGGUUCACGCUGUCCUUCAAGGCAGAGAAAAAUGGCCUUGGGAUAUGCAGGCUUGUGACGGUUCAUCUUGAUUAGGUUUGGAACCACCAAGGGAGACACACCUCUGGAGGUGUCUUCAAAGGCAUUUCCAGAGGGGAUUAAUGGAAGAGAGGAGACCCAUCCUGAAUGUGGCUGGCACCAACCCAUGGUUGGGAGCCUGGCUGAAUAAAAAAGAAUAAACGAGCUGAAUAUUAGCUUUUGUUUCCCCUUGCUUCCUGACUAGGGAUGCGAUGUAACUAGCCACCUCUGGCUUCUGCCACCAUUUCCCGACUCUGAGAGACUGUGCCCUCUCAAACUGUGAGCCACAAGGAAGCCCGCCCUCCUGAAGUUGCUUUUGUACAGUAAUUCAUCACAGCAAUGCUAAGACAAGCUAAUACAUAUGCUAAUACAAUGCUACUACAAGCUAAUACAUAGGCUAAUAUAUAACUUGGCAUUAAGGCCAUUAUACCCUAAGAAGAAGGAGAAAAAAAACCUGUUCAAAGAAAGCAGUCUGUAAACAAACAUAGAGGUACUCUAAGACAUUAUCAGAAUGGUUUAUAAAAUAAUUUUUGUUUAAAAGAGUAAUUACUUCCUAAACCUCUGCUUCAGCUUCCCUAUACGCUGCUCAACAUAUGCAUAUUUUAGAGAUUGUUUUGAUUGGGCAAUCUCUUACAGAAAAAAGAUUAUGAAUUCAGUUUUUCCUGUUUCUCUUUCCUAAAAACAAAGAUAUUCUGAUUCUGUCAUCUGACUUGCUUCAAUAACAGUGUGUCUAGCACAGAAAACCACAGCCACACAUCUGCUGCUAAUAAAAGUUUGCGAUCAGUGAUGCCCACUGCCUUUCAAAACUUAUUUCCUUCACUCUCACACUGGGCAUGGACCUGGCCAAAACUUGUUUCUGUUGUCAUCAGACACAAUGGCAUUGCAUUUAUUCCAGGAGGACAAAUGAACAAACAGAAUCUGUGUCAGCCACUGGAGGUUAUUGCAUGUUUCAGCGUUGAUGACAAGUUGACAUUUUCAUUCAUUAAAUUGCUGAACAUGCAAGUUUAAGAAUUUUGUAACAUUCUCAAUUCUUGGUAAGACUUGUUUGCUAACUUACAAGGCUAAAUGACAUUUGAUAAGCAAAAACACAUUCUCAGAGCAGCAACCUUAAGAUACUUUCUUUCUUUCUUUCUUUCUUUCUUUCUUUCUUUCUUUCUUUCUUUCUUUCUUUCUUUCUUUCUUUCUUUCUUUCUUCAUUCUUUUUUCUCUUUCUUUCUUUCCUUCCUUCCUUUCUUUCCUACCUUCUUUCCUUCCUUCCUUCCUUCCUUCCUUCCUUUCUUUCUCUUUCUUUUCACAAGUAACAUUGAUUUAGAAGAACUGUGAGCUUUGAACCAGGCUUAAGGAAGAGGCCACUGUCUAGUCAAGAACUUCAGCAGGCCCUGGUCCCUGCUUGCAGGUCCUUAGAUAAAUGAGUUAGGGACAGUGUGUGUGUGUGUGUGUGUGUGUGUGUGUGUGUGUGUGUGUGUGUGUAACCCUUACUCUCCCAUAGAGUGAGGGGAAAGUAAGAAAUAUUCCUAAUAAGCUGGGAGUGAACUUAGCAGCCAGAAUGGGACAGUGAGCUGUGUAUUAAGAAACCCCAGAAAGAGAACAAAGUAGGCCAGAGAACGGAAACUUCAGCAUGUCCAGACAAUCUCAGCAUUUGUUUCCAUAGACUUCUGUGUUAGGCAUAAUCAAGGGGUUAUUUCCCAUGAGCAUGCGGAAGGAGAAGGAGGAAUGGAGGAGUGAGGAUACAUUGCAAACUCCUCUACUCAGCAGCUGAGGGUAUCAACUGCAACCCGAAAGCGUAUUUAGGCCUGGGCCCAGCUGCAGCUCAGGGGAUGCCUUGCAAGUGCACAGGGUUGCGGGGAGACAAGAGUUAUCAGGAAUUCCCAAUUGAUUGUAACUCUGGUGUCAUCUGCAACCUCAAGAGGGUGAGCUCUGGAACACUUUGUCUAUGCAUACAGGGAACCAAGGGACACUGAUCAGACUCUGACCAGCUCAAAAGCCAACAGAAAGAGGAUCCAGAAGACUUCCAGAUCCUGUGGACACUAACAGAGCACUUGGCAGGUGCUCAUGGGACCCUUUGUGAAAUAAUAAAUGAUGGCCAAGAAAUAGAGUGAGGGUCAAUUUGCUGCCAUACUUGACUGUCCUCAGCCAGAUGCACCCUUUUCAACUCUCCCUGGGGCUUCGGGGGAGGCGGCGGGGAAUCAGUGACAGCUUCUCUUUAGAACACAGUAGUGAAAACACAAUACGAAGGAGGCCAUGGAGGGCGGGCAAUGCAGACAUAUGCAAAAUAGUAUUCCAGGCAGAGCAAAGAACUACAGGCAGGAGCAUGCUGGCCACUGUGGAGGGACAGGGACGAGGCCUGAGGCUGGCACUGAGUUGCAACAAUGGAGGAACCAUGAGGUCCAGAAGGUGAUGGAGUCUGUCAUGAAGUGCAUCAUGGUCAUUUUCCUCUCCUUUCUUUAAAUCUCAGUUAAAAUUGAGAUGAAUGUAAUUUGAAUGGUUGCCCAAAGGAAGAGAGGAGAGAAUGCCUGAUGGAAGGCCAUACAGCUUUCUUUGCAUAUAUGGAGAUGCCUCAUGGAAAGAAGCGAUUCCCCUAGAGGCAUGCUGUAUAGCCAGUAGCAGAAAAGCAGGAUCCCUCCCUGGGGAUCUUAGCCUCCUUAAUAAAUGAGUUUAAGAAUGGUCAAAAUCAGAAGCUCAAGGACAAUUUUAAAAGUUUAAAAGAACAACCCCGGGACAGGCAAGCUAUAAAUCUGAACAGCUGCCCAGAGGAGGAGAAUGGGACAGAGAAGGACAUCAAAGGCCACACCAUUUGAGCUAAACCAGCAUGGAGGUCAGACCCAGGGAGGGCAGGCAUCACAUGGUGGGGAGGGGACCUUUAAGCCAAGUGCUGAUAAGCGUGCUGAGAAAAGAGACAGAAGAAAGGACUGUGCUUUUCUGGGUGGUGGAGACUUAGGAAGUGUGCAGACUUGGGCAGCUGCCCAUGCAGCUCUGUGAGAGAGUGCCUUUGCUGAGGCUUACUGUCAGUUACUCUUGCUCUGAGCAAACAGCUGAGGAAGUGACUCAGGGAGCACGCAUGUAGUUUUGGUUCCCACGUGGACAGAGAUCAUCACAGUGAGGAGGGCACCAUGGCAGGCUGCAGGGAGAGGACCCGGGAGUGUGGGAGGAGGAAGGGAUAGAGAGUAGGGGGGGGGAUGCCCCAGCUGCUCACACUGAGUUGGCAGUCAGGAAGCAGAUAUGGGACAGCAAGCGGGCUGGCUAUAAAGCUAAGUGAGUCACUUCCUCCAGCUAGACCCCUGCCUCCCGAACAUUCCAUGUCCUCCCCAAACAGCCCUAGCAGCUGGGAAGCAAGUGAUGAAACACCUAAGCCGGUGGCUGAUACUUCCCUCAAACCACGAAGGUUGGGGAAAUAUGGACAAGUAGUAGGAAGAGCUGAGGAAUGUGCUCCUUAUAGGCACCCUUCAUGGAGACUUCUUCCUACACAUCAGAUCACACUCUCCAUGAGAAUACUUACAAGAGGUUCAUUCGAACAAAGUAAUAGCAUUACGAAAUCCAGUGGGCAACUUGAAAUCUUAGAGGAUCUGAGCCCUUGUCCUACUCCCGUCUCCAGCGGACAGCCAUUGCCCCACAGAGAAGCUUCCUGAGGAGAGAGGAGUUCUCAAGUCAUACUCCUCAUGGAGUCUGCAACUCGAGGGGAAUCGUGCUGACCCAGCCAAGAGGAAUCCAAGGAGGAGUUUGUUAAUGUCAACAAGUCAUUCUUGGCCCCUGCUUAAGAGCCCAUUCUUCCAUCUUCUGACUCAAGUGUCAAAGAGGGCACCCCAGGGAGACACCGUGAUUAUUCUUGCUACGGAUUUGAACAAAUGGCCAGAGGCUGCCUGCUGGCAUGUGGACACUACAGCAAGUGUAAAGGAGAGGAUACUUGAGUAAGGGCAUGCCCAAGUCUCCUGUGAGGUCAUGGAGAAUGUCUCAGUCAACAGAGUCAUUCUCCAGGGCCACCACUUCGUCUCCAAUUGCCACCCCUGCUGGGACAGUAGAGCAAGGAAUGGGGUUGAUGGGUGCCCAGUCUUUACAUCCUGGCUUCCCUUCUCUGAGACUGGACACAGUACAGCAAGCUUCCCACUCAUUCUGGAAAGGACUUCAGACUUUUGCCCCCUCCUCCAGUAAGAACUAGUCUCUCUCUUUCUCUUUCUCCCCUCUCUCAUUUUUUUUCUUUCUAAAAUCAUCCUGGGACAAAGCCAGACAAAUUGGACUGUUAACUAGUAUCUGUAACCAGACAAGAAGAAACUUGUCUCAAAGGAAGUUUAAAGGUAGCUUCACCAUCAGGCUGAGAUUUGCAAGGAGAGAUUCUCAAGCCUUGAAUUUCCAUGGGGAUCCCCCUGCAAGGAAGCUGCAGGCUCCAGCCUUGCAGGCGAAGGGGGACUUGACCACCAAGAUGCCUCUAAUAAGUGACAAAUUCAUGUGGGUAACAACUUGACAUUUUUUGUGUUCAAGUCUCUGUUGAAAUAGAAUGUGUAAAUUAAUAGUCUUAGGAGACCCAUGUAGAAGAAAACCAGAAUGGGGAUCAUGAACCCCAUUAGCGCACGCAUCUCAAACCUCUAACGAGAAGAUCUCUGGGGAAUGGAGACAGAGAAGGAUGCUCAGGGAAUGCAGAACACUUCAAAAGCUCACAAGCAUCCAUUUUACAAGAUGUGUAGCAGCACACUCCACUGAGUGUAUAACAGACUUAAAGAAUGAUGGCUGGCCCUGUCUGGAGAGGAAGCAAUAACUUCUCUAAAGAUACUGGUUACUUUGACAAGUUAUCUGUUUGGGUUUUGAGUUCUUUGGUUUGGUUUUGAUUUUUCUUUUCUUUUCUUUUCUUUUCUUUUCUUUUCUUUUCUUUUCUUUUCUUUUCUUUUCUUUUCUUUCCUUCCUUCCUUCCUUCCUUCCUUCCUUCCUUCCUUCCUUCCUUCCUUCCUUCCUUCCUUUUUCAAGACAGGGUUUCUCUGUGUAGUUUUGGUGCCUGUUCUGGAACUCACUCUGUAGACCAGGCUGGCCUCGAACUCACAGAGAUCCACCUGGCUCUGCCUCCCGAGUGCUGGGAUUAAAGGCCUGCAAUACCACCGCCCGGCUGUUUUUGGUUUUUCUGUAACUGCCUUUGGUUUUCCACACUGCCUUAUGUUGUAACUCAAAAUCUAUUGCUCCUAUCAAACCAGUUUCCCCAAAGAUGAAGACCGUAAUAACUACUACACUUAAAAUUAAGAGCAGUCUGCUAAGUCCGAAAGAGUCAUUGAGAUUAUGGGGGCCUGGGCAGUGGAGAUGGAGAAAAUGCUUAGGGGAAAAAAAAAGAUCCACUUUCUGAUUAUUUUCUAAUAAAACUGUUAAUUCUUUUGGAAAAUGGAAGAAAUUAAAUACAGAUUUGUUUAAACCCAGUUGUAUACUAUACAAUAGAUUGCUUUAAUCCCGUUCUGACAUCUGUUAUUAAAUAUUAUUUCCAUGGAUAGAAGUCAGCUGAGCUGAAGUUGUCCAUAUUUGCAGCACUCUUCUAUAGUUUUACUGUUCAAAGCUUGAGAAAGUUAUAUGCUAUAUGACACAUUCAAAUGUUUCACUUGCUAGAAAAAUCUACUCAGCAUCAUAAUUAUGGACCUGGGAAGAGUUGGGGGUGAGAGGUGAAUUAAAACACAUUGUAGAGAAUUCCAAUGAACUAAUAAAAAUAAACACAGUUUAAAAAUUAUCAUAGAAUGUGGUGAUAUUUGAAUUGUGCUGAAAUGUGAUUUUAUUUGUAUGUUAAUAAAUAAAGCUUGCCUGGAGAUCAGAGGUCAUAGCGAGCCAGGAACAGAAGUCAGGCAGUGGUAGCCCACGCCCUUAAUCUGAUCACAUGGCAGGCAGAGUCUCUGUGUGGUCAAGGACACAGCCAAGCGUGAUAACAUGAGCCUUUAAUCCCAGUACCAACCAUAGAGACCUGGAGGUCUGUAUAGACAGGUAGUGACGAGGAGGUCAUGUGGCUGGGCUUGGAGCCAAUGAGAAGGCAGAGCAGAAAGGCAAUAAAAACACAGGUUACACAGGAAGAAGCUCUCUCUGGGGAAGCGACUGUGGUGAGGGGGAAAGAUAAGGUAGCUGUGGCUCUUUGCUAGUUCUCUGAUUUCUUUGGCUGUUACCUCUGUAUUUGGCUCUGUGUUUCUUAUUUAAUAAGACUGUUUAGAAAUUUGUCUACAAUAGAAAGUUAUACUAGUAGCAAUCUUGAGUACCUACUAUGAGGUACUCAAGUAGUUAUCUGUAAUUUAUCUCUAAUCUGUCCCAGCAAUCUUGCCAAGCAGUAUUAAUAUUCCUAUGUUUAGAUGGUAAAAUAGAAACUUGUCAAAGUUUUCCAGGGUUAAGUCAAGCUUCAGCCAGGAUUAGCAAAGAAGUAUAGAGGCAGGCAGGAUAGCUCAAUGGCAGUAUAUGUACUUAGCGUGGUGGUCCUGGGUUCAACUCCCAGAACCAAAAUAAAAUGAAACGGCCUAGAAUCAAGAUUUGAACUUGAAUCUUACUCCUAACCCACCAAAAUUGUUAUUUAACUUUAAUAGACUUCCUUACCCUCACAUGAACAUAAAAUGAGGCAUGAUUUCUUCUGCAUUGCUGGAGUACCUGCUAUGGUCCAAGGCCAAGUCCAGGGACUUGAGGCACACAGGCUUCAGAGCCCAUUAUAAGGUGGUCACAGCUGCCAGUGUGAGCUUCACAACAAGUUUUCAAAUGUGUUGACCUAAAGAAGCAAUAAUGGGACCACUAAGUCUUAGGGGUGCUUUAGUGUAGCUCUUCUUAACCCACAUGAUCAUGAUGAAGAGCACUGCAAAGCCAGCCAGAUGGCUCAGCAGAUAAGGGCGUCUGUGGCCAAGCCUGAACCUGAGUUUGUUCUUCUGGACCCACAGUGGAAGGAGCAAACUGACUUCUGCAAGGUGUUCUCUGACCACAUGUGCACUAUGACACACACACACACACACACACACACACACACACACACACACACACACACACACACAAAAUGUAAUUAAAAAAGAAACAUUGCAGAUUUCAUUUUAAAAAUAAACUGUGUACAUGAGCUCACAUAACACAAUUUCAAAUGUUAGCUUGCAGAUACCUUUAAUCUUGUUUGAGACAGGGUCGGUCUUUCCUUGGCUUGGAAUUCUACCCCAUAGGCCACUCUGGCUGGCCUGUAAGCUUCCAGGGGAUCCUCCUGUCCCUGCGUUCCUGGCUUGGUCAUUAUGGGCACACGGCACUGUGCCCAGACUUUUAUGUGGGCUCUGGAGGUCUAAACUCAAGUCUGGCCAGUUAUGAGGCAUUUGAUUUACUGACUGAGCUACAGCUCAGCCCCACAGUUUUGUUUCUGUGUUUGCACAUUAAAAAUGGGCAGAGUGGUGCAUUGGAGGGCAGGAAUAUAUUGCAGUUUUGGACUUCUCCAUGCCUCAAUUUCUUCAUGGAUCAAAUAGAGGGUGACACUCUCUUAUAGACCUACGAUGAAUACUCUCAGCAUGCUAUCCCAGAAUGUUGUUGAUCACUGUUCUAGGCCCACCUGUGCUUUUGUCUAUCAUCUGAGCUCACAGGACCUGGCCCAUUAGAAUCUUUUUUUUUUUAAACUGUGAAACUACUUCCCACACUUUCCCAGUCAUACCUGGUUCUUCAUCCAGAACCGCCCAGUAUCAUCUUACCGAGGACAUCUCCAUACAGCGCCCAAGUCUCCUUGACCUCUGCAGUUAGGUUUAGCAGGCACUUUCUCUCUGCUCUCGGAUCACUUGCCUCUCACUUGCGGCACCAUCUUUCUUCUCUUUGAAUUAUUAAUUAUCAUCUGUGCCAUGGCUUUGUUUCGUUUCCAGUCUUGGGAUUAAACCCAGAGCCUUGCCCCUGUAUGCGCUAGGCAAGCACGCCACCAGUGAGCUUUAUUUCCAGCCCUAGGCCAUAUCUUAAUGAUCUCUGCUUCCAUCCCAGUCCUCAGAACAACACUCCUACGUGAUGAAUGAGAGAAGAAAUAGAGUGUCAUCAUUGAGCACGAGGACGGGGGUUCCUCUUCCUUCUCCAGGAUUCACUCAGUAAUUAGCUCAGCUGUCACAAAGACGUGUAUGCACAGCAAGCCAUUGAAAUGAGUAUGUUUUCCAGGGAGAAUAUGACUCUUUACCACUUGAUAAAAUUCCUGGUAGGAGUCUUAGUAAAGAAGGGAUUUUGAGAGAAGAUAGUCAGAUGACAUUCCCAAAGAUUGGGCUGUACACGUCUCUCUUGAGGCAUGAACAUUUCAUUAACACAAAUACACACAAAUAUUUAUUAAGUCCUCCAAAGCCAUGCACCUGUUAAUAAAACAAAUGUCGACCACUGUAUUAAUCAAUGCAUUGUAUAUUAUAAAGCAUGUGACUAUAUAACAUAUAAUUUUUAAGUGAGCACAUAAUUUUUAUGUUUUUUUUUUUCCCCUCUAAGAAAUGAUCACUUGCAAAAUGUUUAAUCUCCGUUGAGUUGCUGUACUUUCUGGGAGACAGAGGAAAUCAUGCCUUUCUGUCUGUAGCCUAUUCCCUGACCAUGGUGAGCUCCUUUCUCUCCCCAGGUUCUGUUACGGCACCAACCAUUCUUAAACUGGGAGGAAUCUUGACUCUGCAGUCCUGCAGUCUCCGUCUCCCCCCCCCCCACCCCCACCAUCCCAGAGGUUUGCCGUGGAGCUGUAAGCACAAUAAUGUGAAACUCGACAGAUUACUGUAGAAUUCUUUGUUUGUUUUCCUUGUGACCUAACUCUCAUAAAAUUUAUUUUGUUUUUUCUUCCAAGCUUCUAGGGCAUGUGGUCAUAUGAUUCAAAGUAGGGAAAACAUUGUCAAAACAGUAUAAUGGAAUUGUCAUUUUUUAUGAUGUUUUCAUUACAUAAAAAGCUUCAAUGUGCAGCUCUAACAAUCUAGUUUAUCUGCAUCUGAAAGUAUCAAAUGUAAUGCUAUAAAAUAGUAUUAGUAUUAUUUAGUAUUCUCGGUGUUAUGGUUUUUAUUUACAUCCUAAAGAAAAGCCAAUAAAUACAAUAUUAAAGUUUGUUUGGAAAAUGAAUGAGAAACUUGCCAGGUUAAACACACAGAUACCUCCACAUCACACAUACACACCACACAACACACCAUAUACACACACACUACCCCCCCCACAUACACGCCACACAUACACCCUACACACCUGAUAGCAUACACAUACACACCAUACACACACACACCACACAUACACACCACAUACAUACACAUAUAUCCCAAUACACAUACCACACACCCACACACAUAUACACAUACACUAUUUACACAUCCCACACACACCACACACAUCACAUACACACCAUACACAUACACCACACAUAUACACACCAUACACACACACACAGACACACCACACACACACUACAUAAACACACACAUAUCUCCAUAUUCACACCACACACAUAUACACAUACAUCACACACAUAUCACACACAUCACACAUGCAGUACACACACAUAAAGAUCAGAUAGGCAUUUCAUUCUCUAGAAGUUAACUAGUAUUAUUUCAUAACAAUAAGAUCAUCAUAGAUUUUGUUUUCUUCUUUGUGUAUUGCUGUAAGUCCCCUAAUAUUCUACAAUUGCCAAAUUCAUUUAGCAAGAAGGAUGCUUUACAAUACUUGUAGAUGAUUUACAGGUUUGUGACUUAUAAGCUUCCAAAUAGAAACUUGAAAAAUAUCCUUUGGAGCCAUUGGCAUUUAGAAGAAAACUGUAUGCUAUUUCUAAAUCUGGUUUAAACUGAAACAUAAUAUUAAUGCUACUUUGGUCUCAUGCAAGAAAAAUAGCAUUUUAAACCAUGUGCUUCUUAUUAGAGACUCAUGCAGAUUUUAGACACAGUUUGGACUGAGGAUCAAAAGAGGCUGGGCAUGAGUGCAGAGGAUCUUCCAAAAGAGAGGAGUCCCAGAGGAGAUGAUGAAAGUCCCACUGUCUUCACAGGAGGCAGAAAGAAAGAUAAUACAUCAGAUGGUGGGUCUGUCUGCAUAAGACUAAGGCUGUGGGGAUGGUUCAGUGCUAUGCAAGACUGAUGACCUGAGUUUGGAUCUGCAGACCAUGCAUAAAACCCAAAUUCAGCAGUCUAAGUGUCUGCAGUUCCAGCAUGCCUACAGAAAGUGGGAAACUGAGACAGCAGAAUUACCAGAAACUCACAGAUCAGCUAGCAUGGAUACGAAACAGCAAAGAGGCCUUCUCUCAAAACAAAGCAGGAAGUGGAGACAGACUGUUGUGGGAUUUCUGCCAUUUGGACCAGUGACCAAUGGGAGCGGUUUGGCACUAUGGGCGUGGUCUUCUCUGAGGAAACAUGGCCCUUUAAGAAUUCAUGGGGGGUGGGGGUGGGGGGGGUGGGGGGUGUAUGUCUCUCUCUUGGGCUGGUCGGAGCAGGUAGCUGGCGAGCAUCAGUGGAGAAAAAAAAUAUUUUUGUUAUAUUGUAUAUAUGUUCCUUCUUCCACUUAAGAUAUUUUUUGUAUAUUGAUACAAAUGUAAAUUAUUUUUGUUAUACUGUAUAUAUGUUUCUACUUCUGUUUAGGAUAUUUUGGUAUAUUGAUACAAAUUAAGGUUAUUUUCAUCAUAUUGCGUUAUACAUUUCUACCCCUGGUUAAGACAUUUUUGUAUAUUGCCACUAUUUUGAGGUUAUUGUCCUUACACUGUACAUCUGUUUCUAUUUUGCCUAAGAUAUUGUAUCCACAGCUUGUUUAUUUUUAUAAUGUGAAGCUUAGUCCUUAAGGUAUGUUGGGUUAAUAAGAAUUACAGGUUAACAGUUACCAUGUUUGCCAAACUUAGAGUCCUGUUAGUUAUAUUUUCUAGGCAUGCAAAGAUAUGUUCUAAACAGAGAGGUGAUCUUCAGACACUUCAAAGACCUACAGAAUAUGGCAUUUAAAAUAACUUAGAAUUCUUUUGAUGUGAGACAUGUCUGCUCCUGGCAGCACCAAUCUGCUCCCAAGAGGAUGAUGGGCACUGAAGACACUCUGUAUGGAGUUUGUUUUCCUUUUGGCAAAACUAGCCUAUUGGGCAAGAAACUGCCCUUGUGCUGUGGGAUAGUCUGUAUGUCAAAUGCUCUGAUUGGUCAAUAAAUAAAACACUGAUUGGCCAGUGGCCUGACAGGAAGUAUAGGUGGGACUAACAGAGAGGAGAACUGAGAGAACAGGAAGGGAAGAGAGGCACUGCCAGCUGCCACCAUGACAAGCAGCAUGUAAAGACGCCAGUAAGCCACAAGCCACGUGGCAAGGUAUAGAUUUAUAGAAAUGGAUUAAUUUAAGAUGUAAGAACUAGAUAGCUAGAAGCCUGAGCCAUUAGGCCAAACAGUUUAAAUAAUAUGUCUGUGUGUUUAUUUUAUAAGUGGGCUGUCGGACUGACAGGGUUUGGUGGGAUCCAGAGAGAAAACUCUCCAACUACACCCUUGCCUCAACUGCUGACAGUAAGCACGCUAUCCAAUCUGGACAAGCAGGACACAAAAGCAACUGCUGAACUUUGCCAAGACAGGGUAGGACAGUCCUUCAAAAUUUCCUGCUGCUGAAAAGGUCUGUCAGAUAUUUAGUCCUAUACGCCAAAGUUGCCCCAAUGUUACAGAGGAAACUUGGGUGACUGUCUAGGCAGCCAACUGUUUCUGUCAUUCCUUGCAAUUUUUGAAAGUUGCUAACUUGCACUUCCUACUUACUCAGGUAAUAUUAUUUUUCUUCUCAUGUCUUUGAUGGGGUUGAAGACUAGAUAAUUAUAGUCAUAACCUCCUGAGUCUUAUCUAAGGACAUAUUAGGUACAAGACUUAGAUUCUUCAUGAAAGGACAACUAUUGGAAUAAUCUCUUAAAAAUUAUCUAUUACCUAUGGUCUGGAUGUCUAGGAUGUAUUUCUUACUUGAUAAUUAUUCUUGUAUGUAGUUUCAAUUUUUGUUAAGAUUAUUGUCUUUCUUUACUUCUGUACAACACAUGUUAAUAGUUCUUAUGCAUAUAGUUUCUAUUAUGUUAGGAUUAGAACCUUCCUUUUUAUUUUAGACAAAAAAGAAGAAGUGUGGGAUUUCUGCCAUUUGGACCAAUGACCAAUGGGAGGAGUUGGUCUUCUCUGAGGAUACAUGACCCUUUAAGAAUUCAUGAGAGGAGGAUUGCUCUCUCUCUUGGGCUGGCCAGAGCAGCCAGGAAGCAGCGGAGAAGCAUGGCUUGCAGUUUGGUUCCCAUAGCCCUUGGGCAGAACAGCAGGACAACAACAGCUGGAUGAGCAGAGGCAUCUACCUUGUUCUGUGUUUUAAGCAUGCCUAACUGAUUUCAUCCUUUAAUAAACCUUGCCUGAUCCAAGAA